CUACGUAGGGAGCGAGCGUUGUCCGGAAUGAUUGGGCGUAAAGGGCGCGUAGGCGGCCCGGUAAGUCUGGAGUGAAAGUCCUGUUUUUAAGAUGGGAAUUGCUUUGGAUACUGUCGGGCUUGAGUGCAGGAGAGGUAAGUGGAAUUCCCAGUGUAGCGGUGAAAUGCGUAGAGAUUGGGAGGAACACCAGUGGCGAAGGCGACUUACUGGACUGUAACUGACGCUGAGGCGCGAAAGUGUGGGGAGCAAACAGGAUUAGAUACCCUGGUAGUCCACACUGUAAACGAUGAAUGCUAGGUGUAGGGGGUAUCGACCCCUUCUGUGCCGCAGUCAACACAAUAAGCAUUCCGCCUGGGGAGUACGGCCGCAAGGUUGAAACUCAAAUGAAUUGACGGGG
rnacentral:rRNA from 1 species